rnacentral:rRNA from 1 species
GAUGAACGCUGGCGGCGUGCCUAAUACAUGCAAGUAGAACGCUGAAGGAGGAGCUUGCUCUUUCCGGAUGAGUUGCGAACGGGUGAGUAACGCGUAGGUAACCUGCCUGGUAGCGGGGGAUAACUAUUGGAAACGAUAGCUAAUACCGCAUAACAGUAGAUAUUGCAUGAUAUUUGCUUGAAAGGGGCAAUUGCUCCACUACCAGAUGGACCUGCGUUGUAUUAGCUAGUUGGUGAGGUAACGGCUCACCAAGGCGACGAUACAUAGCCGACCUGAGAGGGUGAUCGGCCACACUGGGACUGAGACACGGCCCAGACGCCUACGGGAGGCAGCAGGAGGGAAUCUUCGGCAAUGGACGGAAGUCUGACCGAGCAACGCCGCGUGAGUGAAGAAGGUUUUCGGAUCGUAAAGCUCUGUUGUAAGAGAAGAACGAGUGUGAGAGUGGAAAGUUCACACUGUGACGGUAUCUUACCAGAAAGGGACGGCUAACUACGUG